rnacentral:rRNA from 1 species
CCUCUGACCGCUCUUUAAUCGGAGCUUUCCUUCGGGACAGAGGAGACAGGUGGUGCAUGGUUGUCGUCAGCUCGUGUCGUGAGAUGUUGGGUUAAGUCCCGCAACGAGCGCAACCCCUAUCCUCAGUAGCCAGCAAGUUAAGUUGGGCACUCUGUGGAGACUGCCAGGGAUAACCUGGAGGAAGGCGGGGAUGACGUCAAAUCAUCAUGCCCCUUAUGAUUUGGGCUACACACGUGCUACAAUGGCGUAAACAAAGGGAAGCGAGAGGGUGACCUGGGGCAAAUCCCAAAAAUAACGUCCCAGUUCGGACUGUAGUCUGCAACCCGACUACACGAAGCUGGAAUCGCUAGUAAUCGCGGAUCAGAAUGCCGCGGUGAAUACGUUCCCGGGUCUUGUACACACCGCCCGUCACACCAUGGGAGUCAGUAACGCCCGAAGUCAGUGACCUAACCGCAAGGAAGGAGCUGCCGAAGGUGGGACCGAUAACUGG